UUGGAGGCCCAGUGGUUUCUCCCUUCCCUGAAGAGCAUUUGUCCCAGAGUCUCCAGUGAACAAAAGCAACAGCAGCAGCCUGACAACAGGAGAGGCGCAGCAUUAGGGGUGUCCUUAUAUAGUGUUCUCCAAGCAUGCAAAGCAAUGAUGAAUGUUCAUCUCACCAGAUCUGAUUCGUACGGAAUGGUAGGACAGAUUGCCAUUUCAAGAGUGAGAAUUUGUCACAAGCACGUGAAAACUGUGCUAGGUUAUUCACUCUGGGACUAAACCCAAGAAUUUCUGGUGGACUGAGAAUUCAUCAUUCGGAAAUAGAGAAGAGACUACUAAUAUCAGUCAGUUGUGUUUGGCUAAUGUGAUGUAGAUGUGAAGAAGGUGGUACUGGUGAAAGACAUCUGCUGGAGAGAGGGCACAAUUAAUGUCAUCAUCUGUAACUCCUUGUGGGGUUCAUUCCUUCCUUCUGGCUGAAAAGGUGCAGGUGGGAUGGCUCAGGUCCCUUGGGAAAUAGAGGAGUGUGAGAGGUGCAGAGAGCUUGGCCUAACCUUGCAAAGGGCAAGAGUAGAUAUGGUUGCUCACUAUUUAUUGGAGGAGAAAAAACAGAUGGAAGGUCUUACAGGUCCAAGAGCUGAUCCCAAGGACGACAGCUUCCAAGAUGUCUCAGAGAGAACCCCAAACUCUGUUCUUGGGCUCAGUGGGAGAGAAGUCUGUCUUCUGAGGAGAAAACACUGAUGCAAGAAAUCAAGGGUCACUUUUCUGCUGUGGAUGUUGUACCUCCUUUCUUAUGAAAAGCCUGAAUUUCAGGAAAAAAGCAACAGAGAUAGGAUUAAUGAAGAAUCAACUGAUGCCUUCAUUACUCUGCUAAUGAACCACCUUCCAUCUACUGCUUGCUGUGAAUCUGCUCCCAUUGCCCCAGAUCUUAACUCUAUGUAACUGGUUCCAUUUUUGAAUCUCUCUGAGACAGAAGAGGAGUCGAUAUGCAUUUCAGCAGAGAUACACCCUGUAAAAUGAAGGAAGAAACCAUUCCUCCUAGAUGAUCAAGCAAAAACCUGCAUUAGCAAACCAGUGUCACGUCUGCUGUUGUGAGGGCAGAUAAAACACUUUGCUGUGGUGAUUUUCAGCCUUACAGAAUUGAAAUUUGCAAAAAUAAACCAGGAUCACCUGUACUUAAUUCAGGAAUGAGGUCCAGUGACCUUAGCUGAAACAUCAGGAAACCUUCACAGCUAUUGGAGAAAGUUCAUCAGCUGCAAUGGAGCUUCUUAAAGCAGUCCAAAAGAACAGCAGGGUGUGUGAAGGGCUGUAAAGUGAUUUGCAACCAAUAGCCCGCAAGAGAGCAAGGAGUAAGUGCCACAGGAGCUUGUGUCCAGCCCCACUAGGAAGUGAAUGAGGAACUGGAUGGAUCUUGUUUUAAAUGGAACUGAACGGUAAUCCCAGGAGAUUUAAGUGCUGAGAUCAUGCAAUGGAUACAUAUUUGACACCUGGGGAUAGAGACAUGCCUGAGAUGUGCCAGGAAAUGUAUCUACAGGCCAGGCAUGAAUACCCAGUUGAAAGCAUACAUGGAACAGUGAAAGCUGUGUAAAGAAUAUAGUGAUUGACAAGAAACGCCUCAUGAAAUCCCAGCCCAGCCCUGGAAAAGCUAUUGGGAAACCAAACACAAAGAACCUAAAACCCAGAAGCUACUGUAUGCAGGCAGGUGUGUAUGAACUUAACCCUGAAGUUACUAUGAAAGAUAACAGCACCAAAAGAAGUUAUUGGGUGCAGGACGUGAGAGGAGUAAAACAAGCAGGAAUAGUGAAACCUGAGCCUCUGUGCUGUGACUGGAAUCAAAGAUAGCAGCAAGUGAUCAUAGUCUGUUAGACUAACGUGCCCAACACAAAAAGGAUGUGAAGUCUGUGAUCAGCACAGAAGAUCAAUACAACUGAUCCUCUCAAGGGCCCUCAAUAAUGACCAAAAUCAGGGAAGUUAAGCAGUGUGGAAAGAACUUGGUUGCUUCAUCAUUGGCAUCUAGUGUUGUUUUAGCUAUUACAGCAUAGCCUGUUUGGCAUCCAUUUGCCGCCCUGGUGGAGUGUCAAUCUGCUUUAGGUCCUGCGUCAUACCUGCUAUUCCCAUACAGAUGUCUUGGAUGCCUUAAGACCUCUCAUAUGGCACUGGGCAUUGAGCACAAGCAGAGGAAUCCUGUCACUUACCUUGUGAAGCAUCAUGCUCUUGAAGGGCCACAACAGUGUGGUAAUGGCUACAGACCAGCAUGGCAGCAGUGAGUAAGCUGAAGAAAUCUUUAAAUGGAAAGACUGAAGUGUUUUGGUUUGGUUGGAAAACUGAACUAGCUUGCCAGAGGGAAAGCGAAGGAAACCAGAAUAUUUUCCCAAAGAGAAGGUAAGGCCCAGCCACGCCUUGCAACAUCAAAUCUUUAAUCAUGUACCUGCCUGCAUAGCAGCGGCAAUAUUCAGUGUUUCUGUAACAUCAUUCAUGCAAGCAUUUCAAAGCACUUCAUAAGCACUAAUUAAUCAAACCUCACAAACACCCAGCAAGCAGCAACUUUGCCCACCAAUGAAGCAUAAUCACUUCUAAAAUGGAAUAUGAUGGCAGUUUGAUAUCGCAUAACAUGACGCAACAGGCCAAGGCAAGUAGAGCAGGAGCAAUUGAGGGCACUUGGGAAGUACCCAUCCUUAAACAGUUUUGCAGAUAUAGUGCUUCUUUUACGUUAGGUAUGCUUUGUUGGAGGUAUUAGCUAAAAAUAUUUCUUGUGAAAAAGCAGUUUUUGCAUUUCACCCAAAAGAACAAUUUGAAAUAUGUUUUUAAAUUCCUAGUAGAGUUCUUUAUGCUAAAGGCAAAUAUCUCCACUUUGUACGGACAAUCCAUCAGAAUACUCUGCUGUCAUUGUUGUUUCUGUCUCACUAGCCAGU